ensembl:snRNA U6 U6 spliceosomal RNA
GUGCUCGCUUCGGCAGCACAUAUAUUAAAAUUGGAAUGAUACAGAGAAGAUUAGCAAAGCCCUUUCGCAAGGAUGACACGCAAAAUCGUGAAGGUUCCAUAAAAACA